CUCUUUCCUGGCUUUUCUCUGCCCACAGGACAGGCGGCAGGGCCCCAGGGCAGAACUCCCUCCUGUGCUCGGGAAGCAGGCCGGCCAAAUGCGUAGGGAGCAGUUUCCAGCGAGCACGCCUUGGGCUGCAUCACUAAGCUGAGAACGCUGAUCAUUUAUCCACUAGGCUUCCUGCCCUGGGUGUUUAAAGGCCGAUUUGGAGUCUGGGUGUUUUUGGUUAAGAUAUGGUGACGAUCUCCCUCCUCACUGGCGGCAGCUGCUUCUGUCUAAAUGACAGUGUGUGUUCAGGAAACUUGUGUUCUGGAAAGGGCACAGGGGGCUCAGCGCCCCCGUAACGGGGCUGCAGCCUGGGAGACACGUGAGAGGAGAAAAGGAAGAUACAGCCCUAAGACCGUCUGAGAGGUCCAAAACACCAACUGUAUUAGAUGGAACGAAAGAGGCGUUCACGCUGGACCGACAGCGGGAGACACGAAAAAAGACGCGUCUGCAGCCUGGGGUUUGUAUGCGGUCCUCACACAGACACGGCCUGACCAACCUGUGGCCACAACCCAGAAGCACGACAGAGAAGUCUGUCCUUUCCUCACUGGUGCGAAAGGGGGCAUUCCUGGGGCCCGGAGCCCUCAGCUGCCCAAACCUCGGAGGUGACACCUCUUGUGGCCCAGCCCCAGGCUGGAAAGAGACAAAAGCAAGGCAACUGCACCGGCUGACCACACACUAGUAGUGGACACGGAUCAAGUGACUCAGCCCUGAAAAUGAUCACGCACAAGGUAUAUACGGAAACCUGGCUUGGGAGGAGCUACGCUUGAUGGGGCCAGGAUUCAAGCCCAGAGCCCAGCUGGCACUGGCGCUGCAGCGGUGUGGCAGGCAGCAGGCGUGUGGGCCCACUGUGUGUCCGGUGGGUUAAACGGAGACAACAGCAGUCGUCCAGGGGCUGCUGUGAUGGUGAAGGGGGCCCUGGGCCAGCGCGGGCUUCUGCUCCGACCCCGAGCGCCUCGCCAGGCAGGCUUUCUCUCAAGACCAGGACGGCGCUUCCCCCUUCUUCUUCCUUUGUUGCUUCUUUUUCAAUUUUAUUUUUGGUGGCAGUUUUAACAAAACGCUGAUCCUCGGCACCAAGCGGCACAUACAGCAGAUGAAAGCAGGGAUGUGCCGCGGGCUCCGUGGCGCAAUUAGCAUUCUCCUAAACAAACGAGCUUCAACAGAGCUGUAAUUAAGCAGGCCUGUAAUUAAGUAUAUGCCCUUUAUCAUAACGAUCAUGCUUAAAAAUGGCAUGAUGCAUGGAACUCUGUUAUUAAUGCUGUAAUCCCAAACUGAAGUGCGAGUACAUAGAAAUCAGUGUGUCAGGCCUGUCACCAGAGUGUUUGUAAAAUACAUUAAAGAAAAAAGCCGGGAAACAAUGAGCUCAUUCAACUGUUCUUUUUACAAUCAGGCGCUGCAAGUCAGGAGGAUUGCGAAUGCUUACAGAAUCUGCAAGGUUUAAACAAAUAGAGCUCUAAUCUGCUCCUGUGUUAAUACCACCCCCCAGCUUAAAGAAGGAAACCGGGGUGGGGUGACCGGGCUACCUGCCUUUGCUCUCCCUGAGGAAGCAGCCCGAUGUGCACACCAUAUUUGGACAUAAAAUUGGAUUCCUGCUGGCACAGACAGCUCUGCCAUGAAUCCAUAGGAACUCUGCCUGGCAGCAGGUCAGGGUCACGGCCUGCGUCUUCCCUUUGCAUGGGAACCAUGACUUUACUCGCCAAGGCGACCCCUCAGGGCCGUCCCUUGGUCCUCCCCUCCACACACGCGCCCUUGGACUUGGGGUCCAACACGAACCCACUGCUGCCCAAUUCCCAAAGGCACUGAGCCCAGGACCACCCCGUCACCGUGGUCAGGGCUGCUGAUUCCUUCCUCCACGUGGAAAUACUCCAUCGACACAUGUAUUAACUGCAACACGCUUGAUAAAGAGGGCCAUACUGUCACAUGGUAAACAAUGUAAAAUUAAAAAAAAAAAAAAAAAGAAAGAAAAGAAAGGACUAGGAGCUCCCAUUGUGGCUCAGCGGUGAUGAACCCAACUAGUAUCCCUGAGGACAUGGGUUUGAUCCCUGACUAGUAUCCCUGAGGACAUGGGUUAAGGAUCCUGCGUUGCUGAGGCUAUAGUGUAGGCUGGCAGCUGCAGCUCCAUCGACCCCUACAGGGGAACUUCCAUAUGCUUCGGGUGUGGCCCUAAGAAGCAAAAAAAAAAAAAAAAAAAAAAAAAAAAACCCAAAAAACAAAACCAAAACCAAAACCCAGAAAGACUGCAUUACCAGCAUCUCAUUUGUUAUCUGCUUACAGUUGCCGAGUGGUGUUAAGUGAACCUGGUCACAGUUCCUCGCAGGUCCUUGCAGCGCUGAUGGUGAACGACACGGCUUAUUGGCAGCCAGGCGUUUUCAGAAUGAAAUUAAAUGCCGCUGGAAUGGUGGGAGGCCUUUCAUUCCACGUACCUGCUUGGGGCUUGGGUUGUAAAUAACCAGCAACCCGGGCCUUUCUUCUUCCCUUUCCUGCUGUGUUUCAAAAGUCCUUUACAAUUUGUGAUGGGAAGAAUGCCAACAACUCCAGAUCUCAAGGCCAUUUCUCAAAACUCAUUUGCAAACCAAAACACCAAGCCCGGUCUGCCUUCUUGGUGAUUUCACUUGGGGGAUACUCCUUGGAAGAUAGCCGUGGAUGCCCCCAGAGCGUCUGCUAGGUGACAUUCCAACGGAGCCUACCCAAGGCCAACGACUUCCUUCUAAAGCCCCAAAGUAAUUUGUUUUGCCAUGUUAUUCACAUGCCAAAAGCAGCGAUUUGUCACCACAGCGAGAGCUCCCUGAGUCCCACGCACGAGGCGGCUCUGUGGGCGGAAGGAGGGACCCGGGGCCCAACCAGCGAGCGGGAGCACCGUCACACACGGUCCUCCCUAACGGGGGACGGCCACGCCCCUGGGCAGCACGGUGGGCCUGCAGCAGGCACAGCAGGCCUCCCCUUCUUCAGGGCAGGGGCCCAGGCCAGGUCCCACCCCACCUCUGACUUAGGACAAGCGGUUUCCUCUCCGUGUCUGUUUCCUCACCUGCAGGAGAAGGAAAUAUUACCUGGGCGCUGUGAAGUCUGAAGGAGAGAAAAGCAGAGAGCCCAGGCACAAACUGUCACCAUCACCAUCCCUCCUGCACUGGAGGAAAAGCCUUCCAAGGCAGGCCUUUCUCUCUCUCUGCUUUUAUGCAAAAAUGCAAGUGUGUCCAACUAAAUCAUGGCACCGAGGCUGUGGCUCCUGCUCUAAAGGCUUCUGGAGGCAGAGGAGUGCAGCCUGCCCAGGAGGGCCCCACCAGCACCCUGGCCUUGGCUCUCCCGGCGUCUACUCUGCUGCUGUCGCAGGUUAAGCCCCACAAGGUCCCAGCUUGGCCCAGGUGCUCAAUGUCCUCAGGAAAAGAGCCCCUAAAGCAAAGAGAAGAAAACUGCCCUCUGAAACACCUACCACCUGACAGUAACUGUCACUUUAGUCCUGAGCCCUUCUCCCUCCAGGGCCCCCACCCCUCCAGCCCUCCUAACCCUCCUGCAGGGGGCCUUGCAGCAGAAUAGCCACCCCAGGUCUCUGCUGUGAGGGUGGGAACCCACAGAGGCUGGGCCACGCUCCACGCCCAUAAGGGACUCUAAAUAUAUGAACGGAACAUUCUCACUGCUGUAGAAAUGCAUUUUGAAACUUUAUCAGUACGUACUGAUUUGGGGCAGAGACCAACUGCAUUUCGUUCAAAGUAAAGACGAAAUCCAUUUAAGUGACACUUCUUGCUAGCUGCCCAGGGGCUCCAGGUGAGUCACCAUCACCUGUGUUCACACCUGCUGCCCACAGUGGACACACAAAGCCCUCGGACAGCUCGAGGCCAAGAAAAGGGGCUUUGCAAGCGAAGAAUGAAGAGCAGAACUGAGGGACCGAUGCAGAUGUGCUGUCACCAGGAGCAACCACAUUGCUGCUGAGGGCAGGCAUGGUCUAAACAGCCACUGUCCUGUUACAGAGGCAAAGCCUUGAUGGAGAAGGGACAGGCCUCGUCCAGGCUCAGGCCCCAGGCCGGAAAGGUGCACUUUCUUUUCCAUGGCUCUUCUCCCCUUCUCAAAACCAACUCGUGUAUAUUUUUAAGUUUUUUUUUUUUUCAAACUGAUCAAUAAAUACAUUUUCUAAAGAAACA